AGCUCUGAUAAUUCAAACUGGGAAGUGUAUUCCAUUGCUUUGUUUUGCACAGUAAUUGAGACUAAAGUAAUUGAGCACAGUGUCACAUCCCUAAAACCUUAGAAGUUCAUAAUCAAAUUCUGAUGUUCUACUGCAAAAAGAAGAACAAAAAGAGUGACAAAGUAGAUGUUCCUGGAGGCAAAACAUGUAGUACAGUGCACCUCAUUACUUAGUAAUGCAGCACACAUACAUAUGAUCGUCAUCCAUCAUUUUUACCAUCACCCUGAACAGAGUCAUAGCCAACUUAUAGGGUCCUGUGGGUACCUUUCAUCCUAAGCACUAAGUCUCUUUCAGUUCAGGCCAUCACAAAUCUAUCUUUUGAAGUAUCCCCUUUAUGUUUUUCAGUUAAUGAAUGUAAAUUUUUGAUGGAAAAUAAUUUCAGUGCAAAGGUAGCCAGACAGUGCUUUUGGCUGUGUACCAGCCAGCAGGUCAGGGAUUUGUUUGUUUGUUUGUUUGUUUGUUUGUUUUGUCUCUUGUAUGUCUCUGUAUGAGAUACAUAGGUCACAACACAGAUAAUGCCUCCUAUUUAUUUCCACAGAAGCUACAACAGAUUCAAUGAGCACAGUAACACUGUUUGAUUGAGCAAAUUCUCAGCUACAAAGCAUUGUUCUUCGACAUAGUCACCAGCAUUAAACAUGCAUUUUGACAGUGAUGAACAAGAGCCUGCAUGCC
rnacentral:lncRNA from 1 species